AAUCACAAUGUUAACGUGUAAUACUCAAAACUGCAAGAGCGAAUCGAUUUGCUGACGAAAAGCCUGACGCAAAGACGUGU
rnacentral:sRNA from 1 species